UGGCAGGAACUGUGGACUGUAGAGAACCCACACUGGAGCAGUCUGUUCCUGAAGGACUGUGCUGUGUGCAAAGAACCCAUGUUGGAGCACUUUAUGAACAGCUUCAGUCCAUAGGAAGGAGCCACACUGAGGCAUGUUGGGAAGAGCUAGCAUUUCCAUCUUAUUUCACCUCCUCGUUUUGCCAAGGAAGAGGAAUGGAGAGUGCUUUGGUGGGCAUCUGGCAGCCAGUCAAGGUUAACCCACUGGACAUCGUUUGCAGUCCUAUACUGAAAUGUAACACUGCAAAAUCACCAAGGGCAAGCAAAAUUAGGACAAGAUAGGAAUACCUAGUAGUGCAAACUGUGAGUUCAAGACUGAUUGAUCUGCCAGACCUUCCUUCACAGAGCUCCUGAAUGAUCCCUCCAUCUUCAUUGGUGCCUCUGGGUUUACACUGAAAAUGAUGUAUGAAGAGUCUAUCAAUAUGGCUGUCAUCUAAGUCCAUCCAUUGACCAGUCUGACUGAUUCAAGAAGAUCUAGUUGUUCCACAUGUCACUUUAAUCCCUGGUGAAGAAAAUUUGCUUGACCAAAGAAGACAGUAGAAAAUUUCAGUAACUUAGAGAUGCUAAGUGAGCAACAAAAAAGCAAAUGAAACUCAGUGUUAAUAAAUACAUACUGAAGUUAAAAUUAAA